rnacentral:rRNA from 1 species
UACGGGGGGAGCAAGCGUUGUUCGGAUUUACUGGGCGUAAAGGGCGCGUAGGCGGCCUCCGCAAGUCAGUUGUGAAAUCUCCGAGCUUAACUCGGAAAGGUCAACUGAUACUGCGGGGCUAGAGUGCGGAAGGGGCAACUGGAAUUCUUGGUGUAGCGGUGAAAUGCGUAGAUAUCAAGAGGAACACCUGCGGCGAAGGCGGGUUGCUGGGCCGAUACUGACGCUGAGGAGCGAAAGCGUGGGGAGCGAACAGG